rnacentral:rRNA from 1 species
AGGUCCUGCCUGCCCAGUGACUAUGUUAAACGGCCGCGGUAUUUUGACCGUGCAAAGGUAGCGCAAUCACUUGUCUUUUAAAUGAAGACCUGUAUGAAUGGUGGAACGAGGGCCUAACUGUCUCCCCUUUCAAGUCAAUGAAAUUAAUCUACCCGUGCAGAAGCGGGUAUAUAAAUACAAGACGAGAAGACCCUUUGGAGCUUAAGACUAAAAAUCAACUAUGUCAAAUAUUUAUCAAAUAGAACUAAGUAGCAACUGAUUAUAAUCUUCGGUUGGGGCGACCACGGAAUAAAAAUAAACUUCCACAGGGACUGAGGACUAACCUUAAAACCAAGAAAAACAUUUCUAAGUCACAGAACUUCUGACCACACAGAUCCGGCAAAUUGCCGAUCAAUGGACCAAGUUACCCUAGGGAUAACAGCGCAAUCCCCUUUUAGAGUUCCUAUCGACAAGGGGGUUUACGACCUCGAUGUUGGAUCAGGAC